UGUCGCCAUGGCCACAUAAGCGUUCGCGCGACACGACCGAGGAACCUGACAACGGGAACCACCUGCAGCGAAGAACCGCCUGCAGAGGCACCACAAGGGAGGCAGCCGACCCCCAGACCCAAGCCCAAGGGUCUAAGUGACAGAAGACCAGCGGACACGAUAAAACAAAAGAACGCCGGCAAGCAGGAUGGUCCUGGGUGUGACUAGCUGAGGGCUGGUCGUGAAAGGUUUCUGCACUGGUCGAAAUGGACGCCGUUUGUGGUAGACUUCGCCGCCUGAAAAUGCGUCGACGAUGGUAUACAUCAUCGACGUGCCUCGCAAGUAUCGGAGCUUUAGCUGCCAUAAUAAAUCAUACUAAAGGUGUCUUCAUCUAUUUUGUGCGAUGAUGAAUAAAAAUUUAUUUUCAAAACGGUA